GGCAUAGCUCAGUGGUGAAGCACCUGCUUUGCAUGCAGAAGGUCCCGAAUUCAAUCCCCUGGUAGGACUG